rnacentral:rRNA from 1 species
GCGCACCAGUCGCGAAUACUUUACAAUGUGCGAAAGCACGAUAAGGGAACUCUGAGUGCCUCCUAAGGAGGCUGUUCAGGUGUCUAAAAGCACCUGAAGGAAGGGCUGGGUAAGACCGGUGCCAGCCGCCGCGGUAACACCGGCAGCCCAAGUGGUAGCCACGUUUAUUGGGUCUAAAGCGUCCGUAGCCGGCUGGGUAAGUUCCUUGGGAAAUUUGGCUGCUUAACAGUCAAGCUUUCAGGGAAUACUGCCCGGCUUGGGGACCGGGAGAGGUCAGAGGUACUCCAGGGGUAGGGGUGAAAUCCAUUAAUCCUUGGGGGACCACCGGUAGCGAAGGCGUCUGACCAGACCGGGUCCGACGGUGAGGGACGAAGGCUA